rnacentral:rRNA from 1 species
CAGCAGCCACGGUAAUACGAAGGGUGCAAGCGUUAAUCGGAAUUACUGGGCGUAAAGCGUGCGUAGGCGGUGAGUUAAGUCUGCUGUGAAAUCCCCGGGCUCAACCUGGGAAUGGCAGUGGAUACUGGCUCGCUAGAGUGUGUCAGAGGAUGGUGGAAUUCCCGGUGUAGCGGUGAAAUGCGUAGAGAUCGGGAGGAACAUCAGUGGCGAAGGCGACAUACUGGAUCAUUACUGACGCUGAGGUUCGAAAGCGUGGGGAGCAAACAGGAUUAGAUACCCCCGUAGUCCCUGUCUCUUAUAC